rnacentral:snoRNA from 1 species
GGAUCAUCUGAUGAGAAAAAAACUGCAACAAUAUGAUGCUUCAUGAUUUGUUGUAUUUAAGUCUCUGAUGAUC